AUACGGAGGGUGCAAGCGUUAAUCGGAAUCACUGGGCGUAAAGCGCGCGUAGGCCGCCCUCUAAGUCGGACGUGAAAGCCCUCGGCUCAACCGAGGAACUGCGGUUCGAAACUGGGAGGCUUGAGUCCUGGAGAGGGUGGCGGAAUUCCGGGUGUAGGAGUGAAAUCCGUAGAUAUCCGGAGGAACACCGGUGGCGAAGGCGGCCACCUGGACAGGUACUGACGCUGAGGCGCGAAAGCGUGGGGAGC
rnacentral:rRNA from 1 species